rnacentral:piRNA from 1 species
ACUGGGCAGCAAAUCUCAAGAGGUGU